GCCGUUUUGAUUGCGUGAUUGAGAAACACCCCGCGCUCAGAACUCGAGGAACGCCCACUUUUGCUCCGGAGACCGCGGGCUCGUUGAAACGCAGCAGGAAGGCGCGAGUCUGACUGGAGCUCUCCUGAGUCGGACGGAUGUUCUAGACUCACCAGGAAGGAGCCGAACAUGGCGAUGGAGGACAGGAAGUGCCAGAUGUCGUGAUCGUCAAAGAAGGAGAGCAGGAUACACUCACGGUUGUGUUCUCGAGACUCGGCCGGAGUUUUCUGGAGACACACAGAUCAACUUCAGAAACCACAGGACAGUUCUUCAGAUCCGGCCCUCGAGGGCCACCGUCAGUCAGGGCCACAUCUGAAGAAGGCCCCAGGAAGUAGAUGAAGAUGAUGAUGAUGACGUCAUCAUAAGAGCAGCA